rnacentral:rRNA from 1 species
UACAGAGGGUGCGAGCGUUAAUCGGAAUUACUGGGCGUAAAGCGCACGUAGUCGGCUUUGCAAGUCGGGUGUGAAAUCCCCGGGCUCAACCUGGGAAUUGCAUUCGAGACUGAAUAGCUAGGGUGCGGUAGAGGGAAGCGGAAUUUCCGGUGUAGCGGUGAAAUGCGUAGAUAUCGGAAGGAACAUCAGUGGCGAAAGCGGCUUCCUGGACCAGCACCGACGUUCAGGCACGAAAGCGUGGGGAGCAAACAGG